GAUAAUACUGGGUAAGUUGGUGUUGGUAUCUUUUAUUCUUAAUUACUGAUUGUAGAGAUUUCGAGGGUUUAACUAGCUUAUAGUUAAGUUCUCGUUAUUCCCCUACUCUAAUUCCUAAUCUAUCUAUCCUUUUAUUGCUUUCUAUACCGAUUUCAUGGUGUUUUUGCGGGGUUAAGUUAUUUUAUACUCAAUUUCCUUGAGCCUUCCUGGUUAGUUUAAAUUUUUGUUUGCCAAUCAAAACUCCCAAAAAAUUUGAAAAUCGAAAAAAUUACAAAAAAAGAAAUUUUCAUUUCUGCUUAUGUUCAAAUUUGAAUCUGUGUGUAGGAGAAGUUGACUGGUCUCGAUUAUGUUGCGCGGACUCUCAAAAAUAGCGCCGCACCCGUGUCGGAUCCUCCGAAAAUGCACUAUUUUUGAAGGAUCCGACACGCACCCACUGACAUUUUCGGAGAGUCCGAGCUAACAUAGGAUCUCGAACUUGGAUUAGUAUUUGAAAGCUUAAUUGAAACGAAAUCCGUGAUUGAGAUUAGUGGGAUUUGCUAUUGUUGCUUGAAAUCAUGUUAUUUGGUGAGUGACCUGAAGAUCGAAUUGGAGCCGCAUUUGGGAGUUUUUGUUGCUGGGUAAUUGUUGAUUUCCUUGAUUUGGCGGCUGAAAUUUGAGUUUGUUCUAAGUGAUUGUGUGAGCUGAGAUUGCAUUAGUCAUUUAAGAGUUCUUCUGGUGGAGAUGGAAGAAUUAAGUUGUUGGGUCAUAGGAUGCUUGAAGUGUGCAGCUGGAACUAUCAAAAUUUGUGUUUUAUAUUAAAAAAGGGUUCAAAGAUUUAUUGUUGCAGAGAAAACCAAUUGGAGUUUCUUCCUUGUAAAAAUUGCAAUCUAAUGUCUGGAUUCUUUUACGGUGCGAAACUGUGGCUAAAAAAUUCAGAUUUAUGUACUUUCUUUCUCAAUUAAUUUUCAGUUUUUUUUAUUGAUAAUCCUUAGCUAGAUUUCAUUUAGUACUUGUUCAUACUAGUGUUAUCUAGCAUGAAUGGAGAAAAUUUUGAAAUUCUUGAUGAUUAUAUGGAUGCAUUAAAGAUUUUUGUACCACCACUUAAUGGAAGUAGCACUUUGGAAAUUAUUAUGAUUCGGAAUACAGGCUUGAAAUGUUGUUUGACAUUAACCAUAUUCCUAAGUCCAAAAGAGGGCAUUAUGUGGCUACUCAACUAGUGGGACAUGCAUUUACAUGGUGGGAUACUUUUUAAAGAAGUUGAGUGUAAAUGAAGUUGAACUACGGGAGCAAGUAAAAGGGAUACCUCAAGAGUAAGUAUGGUUUUUUUAAAGAGCAAGGUUAUGAGAAGAAUGACACUACUUGUCUAAGAAGACUAAAUGAAGAAAAGUGGUGGUGUAAGUUUAGUGUAAAGAUUGCAAGUGAGGAAGGAUUUAUGCUUGACAUGAGUAGAGAUUAUUGUUCAAACUUCAUUAGUCCUUCUCUGGUUGAUUUGUUGCGCCUACCAUAUGAAUAUUGUGAAGUGCCAUUUGAAGUCAAUAAGACUAAGUUUCAAAAGAUAGAGAUAGGAAACUACCUUAGCUUGAUGGAAUUUGGUUCUUUGUCCAUCUUUCGACAACAAGCCAUCUAUGUUUUGGAUUUUCAUGGUUCCUUGACCACCAGCUUACAUACUGAGGAUUACUACACUAUUGUCAAAGAAAGAAGACGGUAUUCCAUUUACCCUUUGGAUUGAGGAAAAAAAGCUUGCUAAGGAGAAAGUCUUGGGGAGAUUUGCAGCAAAGGCAAAAAAGUUAAGAGUGGACACUUGAAAGUUGAUCAAAAUGUGAGCCCUUACCAAUAUGUUCAAUUUAAAGGAGGGUCAAGUAGAUCCUAUGGGUCACAUGUCAUGCCAAAUGUGGAGAUGUCAAUUGCUACAAUGUGCCUCCAACUGGAAUGCAAGUUGUAUUGUGUCUUGUGUAGGAACUCUUAGAGGUGCGCACCAAGAAGAACCAUCAAGAGAAAAACAACCAUCUUUGAAGAGCUUGGAAAAAGAUCAAGUUAUGUUUUCAAGAGAACCUAUGGGAAUAAAUAUGUAAGAUCAAGGUAAAGAAAAUCUUGUAGAGGAGUUGCACGGUAAAUUGGCUAAGCCUUCCACUCUCGAUACGUUGACCAAUUUUAAUGAUCAAUUGAGUUUUUGACCUUUAUGAUUCAUUAUCUUGCAAUGAGAAUGAUGUUCAUGAGUUACCACUAGUUGAAUGAAUUUGUGGAAAUCAUGUCGGAAAUUCUUAUGAGCUUGUAAAGUUGCCAACUAUGAUGCUAUUGAAAUUGUAGAAUGUGACUCUUUUGAAGA